CAAUAGCGUAUAUUUAAGUUGUUGCAGUUAAAAAGCUCGUAGUUGGACUUCGGUUAAGAGCGACCGGUCCGCCGUUUGGUGUGCACUGGUUGGUUUUAACUUCCUGUAGAGGACGUGCUCUGGGUUUAACGACCUGGACUCGGAGUCUACGUGGUUACUUUGAAAAAAUUAGAGUGUUCAAAGCGGGCUUACGCUUGAAUAUUUCAGCAUGGAAUAACACUAUAGGACUCCUGUCCUAUUUCGUUGGUCUCGGGACGGGAGUAAUGAUUAAGAGGAACAGUUGGGGGCAUUCGUAUUUCAUUGUCAGAGGUGAAAUUCUUGGAUUUAUGAAAGACGAACUUCUGCGAAAGCAUUUGCCAAGGAUGUUUUCAUUA
rnacentral:rRNA from 1 species